rnacentral:rRNA from 1 species
GCAAGUCGAGCGCACUCUUUUAGAGUGAGCGGCAAACGGGUGAGUAACGCGUGGGAAUCUACCCAUCUCUACGGAAUAACACAGAGAAAUUUGUGCUAAUACCGUAUACGUCCUAUUGGAGAAAGAUUUAUCGGAGAUGGAUGAGCCCGCGUUGGAUUAGCUAGUUGGUGAGGUAACGGCUCACCAAGGCGACGAUCCAUAGCUGGUCUGAGAGGAUGAUCAGCCACACUGGGACUGAGACACGGCCCAGACUCCUACGGGAGGCAGCAGUGGGGAAUAUUGGACAAUGGGGGCAACCCUGAUCCAGCCAUGCCGCGUGAGUGAUGAAG